ensembl:lncRNA
CUCCUCACACACCCACACGGGCCUCUCUACCCAUGUGUAUCCUUGCUUAUUUGCAGGGCAGAGGUAUCACCAGCCAGCCACGCUUAAAGUUUGCUAUCAAAUUACAUCCCUCUGUAGAUGUGUUUCCCGAUGAGAUUUGGCAGUGACGCUAAAACACUUUGGCUUGCCAAUACCAUAUAUAUGCUGUGACCAGCAGUCCUGGUGCUGGCGCUUGCUUUUGCUUUACUUAUACUGGUUGUGCCAAUUGCUGCACCUGGGACACACACACUAGUCUUGUCCUAGGAGCUAAGGCUGAAAUAAUUAACUACACUCAUUACUGCCACCAGGACACUUAUCUGCUUCUCUUGAUGGCACAACAGGAGGGACACCGAUGCAGAUGGUUCUCAUUUGGUCUACUUCCUAAAUGCACUGUGCAUGUCAUUUCUAAGCAUCUAGAAUUUGUAUUGCGAAAAGCUCAAGUACAGUAAGGAGAGACUCAUGAGGCCAGGUGUUUUUCUGCAUGGAUGAGAAGAGUAGAAGCCUGGUGAUUCCUAUCCCAGACCCUGUGCUGUCCUGCUUCACCUCUCCAGACCUGUGAACCUCUUCAGGCUUUGCUCCCCAAGCCACUGGACCCUUUGGCAUCUCCAUCAGCAGCAGAGCAGGAGAUCCCCACGAAUACAUGAAAACUGUCGUGGGUUCAAUAGUGCUGUGGCAAAAGUUUCUGUGCAGACAGCUGAGUAACUGAGCAUCCACCACCCAGAGCUGUUUCACCGCUGAGCGGCCACCAGAUGGAGAAAGCACUCCACAUCAUGGUUUCUGAGUCCAGCCAGUUCCCCUGCCCACAGUGAGUGGCAGACCUGUGCUGAGGGAAGUAUCUCCAUCAGCCCCUGAAAAGCUGGAGCUGCUCCCUGUCCCUGGAAGUGUGAGCCCACAGCUGCUCACGUCAAAGAUAUGAGAUGCCCAGAAAGUUCCUGCAGCUGAGUAAGUAAUUGCCCUGUCACAUUAAGGAGGCAGAAAGAUUAUCCACAAUUAUUGCACUAUCCUAACUAAAGAAGAACUAAAAAAGCAGUGUCAUGUCCUGCAGGUUUAAAACUGAGUCUCCAGAGCUUCUAUGCCUUGCCUCGUACUUCCUUUUCUCUGUCCUAUACAGCAGCACACCUGAGUCACUGUUGAGACUGGAAAUCCUCAGUGCUCUGUCCAGAUGUGAACUGAAGCCAUGCCAAGGUUAUGACAGCAGCACAAAGCAGCUCUCCCAGCUGGCAAAGGAGUGGGAUGAAAGUCUCUGCAGAGGUGGGGAAAUACCUCUUUCAAGAGUAGUUGGGAAGGCACAGCUUGCAGUUUCCAUCACUCGACCUUUCUGCUGGCCUCUGCUGCUUGCCUAGUAGCAGCAGCUUUGUCAGAAAAAGAAAUUAAAAUCAGAUGCACUUUGAAGUGUUGAAACCAACCCCUCAAGAGGACGGACCUCUCUGUUGUGCCACUCAGAUCAUCACAAACCUUGCAGCGAAGAGAUCCAUUUAAAGACAGAAAUCCCAGAAACCUAUGAUUUAUGUUCAGCUCAGUUUGUCACACUGGAGAAAAUCUUCACUGUGAAUCUUCUGCCCAGAAGUUAUGCAUUGCUAUGAGGCCGAAGCCAUAAGGGUCAUUGUCCAGGACUAGCCUCCUGACAAGUGAUUUAAGAAGACCUUUAGUAGAUAGCUAGUCUUCUAAUAUGACAACAUAAUCUCACUGUUUCAUCAUUAGCAGUGUUAAAAAUUCAGUUCCUGUGCAGUUUCGGUGACUGUUGUCUCUUUUCUUCAUAAGCUGAAAUCCCCUCUCUAAAGGAGCACAUGCAAACCCCUUAAGCUUGCAUCCAAGGUGUUGCAGGAAGGGCCCAGACCCACGCUUAGCAUCCAGCUGGGAGCAGUCAGCUCUCCUUACCCACAAAGAUGGAGUAAAGAGCAGAAAAUGUUUCCUGUCCGAAGUGGUACAGCAAGCAAAAACUAUGUUUAGGCAGUAUUAACCAUUUGGAUGUUAUCACCUGAGGUGGCUGUUCUUAUGCCUUUCAUCCCUAAAGGAACAUAUUCAUAAUGCUGACGAAAUCCCCUCAGAUGUUUUUAUUUAUUUUUUAAAUAAAGUGUUGCCUAUUUCUGAC